rnacentral:rRNA from 1 species
GACGAACGCUGGCGGCGUGCCUAACACAUGCAAGUCGAACGGAGAUAGUUAAUGAAGCUUGCGAUUUAGCUAUCUUAGUGGCGAACGGGUGAGUAACGCGUGGGUAACCUGCCCUUAAGACCGGGACAACAGCUGGAAACGGCUGCUAAUACCGGAUGUAUUGUCCGAGAGGCGUCUCUUGGAGAAGAAAGCUGGCCUCUGAAAAUGCUAGCGCUUAGGGAUGGACCCGCGUCUGAUUAGCUAGUUGGUGGGGUAAAAGCCUACCAAGGCGACGAUCAGUAGCCGGCCUGAGAGGGUAAACGGCCACACUGGGACUGAGACACGGCCCAGACUCCUACGGGAGGCAGCAGUGGGGAAUCUUCCGCAAUGGACGAAAGUCUGACGGAGCAACGCCGCGUGUAUGAAGAAGGCCUUCGGGUUGUAAAAUACUGUUGUUAGGGAAGAACGGCAUCUGUGUAAAUAAUGCAGGUGAUUGACGGUACCUAACGAGGAAGCCCCGGCUAACUACGUGCCAGCAGCCGCGGUAAUACGUAGGGGGCAAGCGUUGUCCGGAAUCAUUGGGCGUAAAGGGCGCGUAGGCGGCAAUAUAAGUCUGAUGUGAAAGUGCGGAGCUUAACU